rnacentral:misc_RNA from 1 species
GUUUCAUUCCCAUGCCCUGCUUAGGUUAUGCAAUCAAACAGAAAGUUCAAGGCUAAAAACGGCUAGAAAGAAUAGUCAUGAAUUUCAUUGGAGUCUAGCAGAGUAGUGCUGCAUACACAGGAUUGCAAGGAUUGAUUCGCUAAGUCGAUCAGUGAAGUACUUAUAAUUUGUGAAUAUGUGUAAAAUUUACAUUUCAGGAUAUAACCCUUCAGGUUUGGAAUGCCAACAAGACGAUUGGAAUUCCAUACAAUUACCGCAUGGAGAACAACCGUCCCGUAUGCAGUAGCAAAUACCACAACAACACUCAAAAAAGAAGAAAGAAAUAUCCUCUCCGAACAAAUCCUAGCUUGAUUCUGAUGCAGGGGAAACAUUUGCAGGCUUAUUUUUCGCAUUUCCUACGUCUCCAGACCAACUUUAGCAUGGAACAUGAUGCAACUGUAAUAACAAGGGCUAGCACUCGACCCCCGACGAGUCCAGCAAGAACGAUAAGAAAGAGGAUCGGAUAACCUGAAUUGCCUCCCUUUUCAAUAUCCACCCUUUCCUCCGCCACAAUCAUCUCUGGCUUAGUGUGCAAUGUCUGAGUAGAAGUAGAACUUCUAAGUUCAGUC